rnacentral:lncRNA from 8 species
GUUGGCACUGGACUGUGAAGGUGUCGUUACUGGAGCUGCAAUGACAACAAUGUAGAUGCAUAUUUGAGAUGCAAAUGAAUAAUGAAAAUGUGAUGAUAGAGCACAGAUCUGUCUGUGUGUGUGUGUGUCUAAAUGAGGACUAAUUGUUGAUUUGAGUAUUCAGCCAGGACUCACGAACAACUGUCAACAACACUGAAUCAUAAUCAGGGCUGGAUGACUCCUUAAAUAACUCUCAUCAAAGUCACAUUGACUGUAAUGAAGCAUCAACAUUAGGGAUAAACCAUUGGGAACAGACAGCUAGACCUUGUCCAAUGCAACAACAAAAAGCUGGCAUCCUGCAAAACAUCUUACAGCCAGGCCAAUGUACUACUCCUCCAGCCCUACUCAUAGUGCUGCGUCUUGUGGACUGGCGACGUGUGUAUGUUUCUGCAGGUGAGAACAAGGUAAAGGACGAGGCUUGUAAAAUCACUCCAAACAAAAAUACAUAUGCUUGUAUCACUAAUGGUAGUUACAUUCAAAUGGGACGGGAUGGGACAAGCUGGUACAUUCAAAUGGGAUGGGAUGGGACAAGCUGGUACAUUCAAAUGGAUGGGAUGGGACAAGCUGGUACAUUCAAAUGGGGCGGGAUGGGACAAGCUGGUACAUUCAAAUGGGAUGGGAUGGGACAAGCUGGUACAUUCAAAUGGGGCGGGAUGGGACAAGCUGGUACAUUCAAAUGGGGCGGGAUGGGACAAGCUGGUACAUUCGAAUGGGAUGGGAUGGGACAAGCUGGUACAUUCAAAUGGGAUGGGAUGGGACAAGCUGGUACAUUCAAAUGGGAUGGGAUGGGACAAGCUGGUACAUUCAAAUGGGGCGGGAUGGGACAAGCUGGUACAUUCAAAUGGGAUGGGAUGGGACAAGCUGGUACAUUCAAAUGGGACGAGCUGGUACAUUCAAAGGGGGCGGGAUGGGACGAGCUGGUACAUUGAAAUGGGGCUGGAUAGCUACAUAUUCUGAUUGAUACAUAGGUCUAGUGUGUAAACAUAUCUUCUUACCUCUUCAUAUUAUGUCUUAAAUGUACUUUCCAAACCAAGUUAAAUGCAGUGGCCAUGUUUUAACCAGGACUUAUAGAUCCCAAUUCUUGGAACAGACAUAAACAUCUAUUUUCACAUAAUUCUUGAAAAUGACCAAUUUUGUCCUGUGUAUUAAUCUUACCUGGCUGAAGAUACCUCAUCAAGUUUUGUACAUAGCCUAUGAUUCGAUAUACUAUACCGAACAAAAAAUAUAAACCCAAAAUGAAAAGUAUUGGUCCCAUGUUUCAUGAGGUGAAAUAAAAGAUUCCAGAAAUGUUCCAUACCCACAAAACGCUUAUUUAUGUCAAAUUUUGUGCAUAAAUUUGUUUACAUCCCUGUUAGGGAGAAUUUCUCCUUUGCCAAGAUAAUCCAUCCACGUGACAGGUGUGGAAUAUCAAGAAUCUGAUUAAACAGCAUGAUCAUUACACAGGUGCACCUUGUUCUGGGGCCAAUAAAAGGCCACCAAAAUGUGCGGUUUUGUCACACAACACAAUGCCACAGAUCAUGUUUUGCGGGGGCGUGCAAUUGGCAUGCUGACUGCAGGAAUAUCCACCAGAGCUGUUGCCAGAGAAUUUAAUAUUAAUUUUUCUACCAUAAUCUGCCUCCAACGUCAUUUUAGAGAAUUUGGCAGUAUGUCCAACCGCCUCACAACAGCAGACAGCGUGUAUGGUGUCGUGUGGGCGAGCGGUUUGCUGAUGUCAACGUUGUGAACAGAGUGCCUCGUGGUGGUGUUGGGGUUCUGGUAUGGGCAGACAUAAGCUACAGACAAUGAAUAGACUUGCAUUUUAUCAAUGGCAAUUUGAAUGCACAGAAAUACUGUGAUGAGGCCCAUUGUGAGGCCAUUUUUGUUAAUUGUCUGUGACCAACAGAUGCAUAUCUGUAUUCCCAGUCAUGUGAAAUCCAUAGAUUAUGGCCUAAUUUAUUUAUUUAAAUUGACUGAUUUCCUCAUAUGAACUGUAACUCAGUAAAAUCUUUGAAAUUGCUGGGAUGUUGCGUUUAAUAUUUUUGUUCAGUAUAUUUAGCUACUGUACAUCCAGGCUACUAUUGGGGAAAGAUGGCAGAAGUGUCACAUCCUGACCAGCAGAGGGAGGUAUUGUAUCAGUUGUGGUCAGGAUGUGGCAGGUUGUUUGUAUGUUAAGGGUUUGUGUUGGGGAUGGGACUCCCAAUUGAAGGCAGGUGUGUUGAGUUGCCUUUGAUUGGGAGUCCUAUAUAGAAGGGUAUGUUUUUAUUUGGGAUUGUGGGUAGUUGUUUGUGUGCACUGCGUUUGUUUUAGCCUGCCACACUGUUGCCGUUGUGAGUAUUGUUUUUUUUGGUUUUCCAGUGGAUACUUUACUUGUUUUUAUCAAUAAACAUGAGUAUCCACAUUCCCGCUGCGCCUUGGUCCUCUCCUUUUGACAGCUGUGACAAGAAGUGGAUGCUGAGUUUGAAUCAAGCACCGCGUCGAGCAAAGUUGCGGAAGACAAAUGUUCUGAAUGGACGACAGUAGUAUCAAAAACUGGAACAAAAAGGAAAAUGUUUAAAAUUGGUGAGUAGAGGAUACAUGUAUGAAUGAUAAUGAAUCGCUUCUUGUUGGGAUGUGUUUCUUGAGUAUGGAUGCAUAUGUGGGAGAUGCAUUUGAGGUGUCGAAAAUGGUGAAGUAUGCACUGGGACAAGUAGAUCUGUCAGAGUGACCAGGAGUGUGAACAGGAACAUUGUGGAUCUAAAUGUUUUUCCGCAUAAUCCUGGACUAUCGGACCACCAUUUUAUUACGUUUGCAAUCGCAACAAAUAAUCUGAUCAAACCAAGGAUCAUCUAAAGCCGUGCUAUAAAUUCUCAGACAACCCAAAGAUUCCUAGAUGCCCUUCCAGUCUCUAUCCACCUACCCAAGGACAUCGGAGUACUAAAAUUGGUCAACCACCUAACUGAUGAUCUAAAUUUAACCUUGUGUAAUACCCUAGAUGCAGUCGCACCCCUAAAAACAAAAAUAAAUUGUCAUAAGAAACCUUCUCCCUGUUAUACAGAAAAUAACUGAGCCCUGAAACAAGCUUCCAGAAAAUUGGAACAGAAAUGGCGCUCCACCAAACUGGAAGUCUUCCGACGAGCUUGGAAAGACAGUAAUGUGCAAUAUCGAAGUGACCUCACUGCUGCUCGAUCAUCCUAUUUUUCCAACUUAAUUGAGGAGAGUAAGAACAAUCCAAAAUGUAUUUCUGAUACUGUCGCAAAGCCAACUAAGAAGCAGCAUUCCCCGAGAGAGGAUGGCUUUCACUUCAGCAGUGAUGAAUUCAUUAACUUCUUUGAGGAAAAGAUCAUGAUCAAUAGAAAGCAAAUUAAGGACUCCUCUUUAAAUCUGCGUAUUCCUCCAAAGCUCACUUGUCCUGAGUCUGCACAACUCUGCCAGGACCUAGGAUCAAUGGAGACACUCAAGGUUUGUAAUCCUUUAUCUCUUGACACAUUGAUGAAAAUAGUCAUGGCCUCUAAACCUUCAAGCUGCAUACUGGACCCUAUUCCAACUAAACUACUGAAAAAGCUGCUUCCUGUGCUUGGCCAUCCUAUGAUGAACAUAAUAAAUGGCUCCCUGUCCUCUAGAUGUGUACCAAACUCACUAAAAGUGGCAGUAAUAAAGCCUCUUGAAAAAUAAAAAUUCUUUGAAGUACUACUUACUAGUUUUUUGGGGUAUCUUUAGUUUACCAUCUAUAUUUUUGACCAUUUUUACUUCACUACAUUCCAAUAGAAAACGAUGUACUUUUUACUCCAUACAUUUUACCUGACACCCAAAAGUACUCAUUACAUGUUGAAUGCUUACCAGGACAGAAAAUUAUCUAAUUCGCACACUUAUCAAGAGAACAUCCCUGUGUUGGAGUGUGACCCUGGCUAUCUGUUAAAAAAAAAAAAAAAAAAAAUGAUUGUGCUAUCUGGUUUGCUUAAUAUAAGGAAUUUUAAAUUAUUUUACUUUUGAUACUUACCUAAACUACCAGUCAAAAGUUGUAGAACACCUCCUCUUUCAAGGGUUUUUCUUGAUUUUUACUAUUUUCUACAUUGUAGAAUAAUAGUGAAGAUAACAAACUAUGAAAUAACACAUAUGGAAUCAUGUAGUAACCAAAAAAAGUGUUAAACAAAUCAAAAUAUAUUUGAGAUUCUUAAAAUAGCCACCCUUUGCCUUGAUGACAGCUUUGCACACUCUGCACAAAACUGAGGGUUGUCUUUGGGUUGUCCGAGAAUUUAUACAAUGUAGAAAAUAGUACACAUUUUUUAAAAAAUGGUUGAAUGAGUAGGUUUUCUAAAACCUUUGACCGGUAGUGUACAUUUAA